rnacentral:ncRNA from 1 species
GUAACAGUCGUGAAAGGAAUUAGUAGCUUGCAUGCUUUUUUUCAGAGAGUCGGUGACAGCUGGGAACCGAUAUUACGCUGCUUGUGAAUCCAUCCUUGAACUGGUUUGCUGAAAAGUGUCAGUAGGCAGUCCCGGCUAAACGCCGUUAUCGUAUUUGAGCCGGAAGCGUUACUUGCUUCAAUAAGGGUGGCAACGCGGGAACAAUACUCCCGUCCCUGAU